rnacentral:rRNA from 1 species
GAUUGAACGCUGGCGGCAUGCCUUACACAUGCAAGUCGAACGGCAGCACGGGAGCAAUCCUGGUGGCGAGUGGCGAACGGGUGAGUAAUACAUCGGAACGUGCCCAGUAGGUGGGGAUAGCCCGGCGAAAGCCGGAUUAAUACCGCAUACGACCUGAGGGUGAAAGGCGGGGGAUCGCAAGACCUCGCGCUAUUGGAGCGGCCGAUGUCAGAUUAGCUAGUUGGNGGGGUAAAGGACCUACCAAGGCUACGAUCUGUAGUUGGUCUGAGAGGACGACCAGCCACACUGGGACU